UAGAAGUGGGAGUAGGGAAGGACGAACAAGGGCAAAUAGGUAAUUCUAAUAUUAACUUUGGGGUAAUUCCUAAUGUAAAUAGUACAUUAUAAUGGGCCCAUCUGUCAUAGAUAUAUGACCUACUCUAUUAACACGUGUAUUGCUCUUUAUUUAUCAAGAAACACGUGUGCUACUAAUUGUGUCGUCUUUUUCAUUGGAACAUUUAACAAAAAACUUGUGUAAAGUGAGCUUAUUGUUCUUCUUCUGGGAAUGAUUUCUACCGUCCCUUCAGUUUUAAAUUUCUUUCCCAUUGGUAUUAUACCUUUUCCUGCCAGUGUAGAACCUAGCGGAUAUCGAUUAAUCUAAUUUUAUGUUAUUUUUAUUUUGCCUUUAGGUUAAUUUUUCAUUGGAUUGGUUUGAAUUUUCUUUCAAUUUUGUUGAUUUCUUGGGUAUUUAGGGUUGUUAUACCGUUGCAUGCACUACAUUUUAGAGUUCAUUGUAAUUUGUAGCACUGGCCUUUUUUCUCCUUCUCCUCUCCGACUUGCCUAUUUACAAAUUUGUAUUUAAUGUAAUAAUUUCUCCUAUUCAGGUCUAUUACUUCAAGGAGAUAGGGGAGAAUUGCAAGCAUGAGAUGCCGGAAUGGAGCAGAAGCUUGAAAUUCAAACAAUCUAUCAAAUUUUUAUAUCGUUAUGCAUUAGUUUACAGGUUAGCUUCCUGGUACGUAUGAAUGACAAGACUCAAAUUGGACAUAGAAGACGGUCUCCAUGUUCUAAGCGUCUGAGAAAAGAAGAAGAAGAAAUGAAGAAGAAUAUGGAGAAAUGAUCUUGGCAAAAGGGUACUAACAGGAGAAGCUUUACAAAGAGUUUAAUGGUUCUUUGUCAAAAUCUUAGCUUGUGACAACAAUGCAGGGAGGACUUUUGAAUGGUUGGAUUUUUCUUUGCAUCAACUAUAGAAUAUUUAUUUAGUUUUUGAGUUCCUCUUUAUUUAACUAGAACUACAGUGAUUAGAAUAUUCAAUUUUUAUAUGUUAUGUAUUAUGUAAUGACAAUUAAAAUGUUUUUGAUACAAGUGUUCAAAA